GAGCCAGAACCAUGAAUAUAUUAGACGGGGCA
rnacentral:scRNA from 1 species